rnacentral:rRNA from 1 species
GUGGUCAAGCUACGAAGAGUGCAUGGUGGAUGCUUUGGUGCCAAGAAGCGAUGAAGGACGUUGCAAGGCUGCGAUAAGCCUCGGUGAGCCGCCCAGCAGGCUAUGACCCGGGGAUUUCCGAAUGGGGAAACCCCUUGCGUCGAAGGCGCAAGACUCAGCCCUGAAUUCAUAGGGGCUGAGAGCGAACGAGGGGAACUGAAACAUCUAAGUACCCUCAGGAAUAGAAAGAAACCUCUACUUCCUUAGUAGCGGCGAGCGAAAAGGAA